rnacentral:rRNA from 1 species
AUUGAACGCUGGCGGCAUGCCUUACACAUGCAAGUCGAACGGCAGCACGGGUGCUUGCACCUGGUGGCGAGUGGCGAACGGGUGAGUAAUACAUCGGAACGUACCUUAUCGUGGGGGAUAACGCAGCGAAAGCUGUGCUAAUACCGCAUACGCCCUGAGGGGGAAAGCGGGGGAUCGCAAGACCUCGCGCGAUUAGAGCGGCCGAUGCCUGAUUAGCUUGUUGGGGGGGUAAAAGCCCACCAAGGCGACGAUCAGUAGCUGGUCUGAGAGGACGAUCAGCCACAGUGGGACUGAGACACGGCCCAGACUCCUACGGGAGGCAGCAGUGGGGAAUUUUGGACAAUGGGGGCAACCCUGAUCCAGCAAUGCCGCGUGAGUGAAGAAGGCCUUCGGGUUGUAAAGCUCUUUUGUCAGGGAAGAAACACCGGCUCUAACACAGUCCGGGAAUGACGGUACCUGAAGAAUAAGCACCGGCUAACUACGUGCCAGCAGCCGCCGUAA